CACACUGUUCAGACCCAUCAGAGUGUGCCCCGUCUUUGUGGGCACUGCCUGUACCAGGGCCACCCUUGACUUCCAGCUCAUCCUUCCUCAUGGAGCAGCUGGCCCUCAUGCCUUGUCACAGGAACAGACUUCUGCUUCAGAGACAAAACCCUGAGUUUUGUCACCUCUGGUGACAAAGUUCCUACUUUUGCUGAUCAUCUGUGACUUCCUGCUGCUGUGACUUUGAGCUGGGGAAGAACAACCAAGACUGUUUUGUCUCCUACUGGAGAUGAGAGCAACUUGUGAGUUUCAAUGGAAAUUUCCAUGAAGAUAUUCAUACUACACCCAUGUGCCUGGUCACUACUCACUGUCUCACCACUGACUGUGCCAGAUCCCAGGGUAUAUGUGCUCAGGCACUGAACUGAAUGCCAGACACAGCUGUGGACCUGCAGUUGCA